rnacentral:rRNA from 1 species
GACAGAGGGUGCAAACGUUGUUCGGAAUUACUGGGCGUAAAGCGCGUGUAGGCUGCUCGGAAAGUCGGAUGUGAAAGCCCUGGGCUUAACCUAGGAAGUGCAUUCGAAACUUCCGAGCUGGAGUUCUGGAGAGGAAGGCGGAAUUCUCGGUGUAGAGGUGAAAUUCGUAGAUAUCGAGAGGAACACCGGUGGCGAAGGCGGCCUUCUGGACAGUGACUGACGCUGAGGCACGAAGGCCAGGGGAGCAAACGGG